UCUUUCAAUAGCUUAAGGGAUAAAGCUACGCUCUUCUAAAGCGUUUAUUUAGGUUCAAAUCCUAAUUGAAAGACCC
rnacentral:tRNA from 1 species